rnacentral:lncRNA from 1 species
CCAGCCUGAUAAGAAGAUUUCCCUGCAAUACAGACAGCAAGGAAAUGUAAACCACUUGCCACUUCGAAGGCUGGAUCAAGCCAGUGUUAAUGGGGAGAGACCAACAAGAAGAUGCUUUGGGAGUUUCAAUGCAGGGUUCUGUGCUCUGACAUGGAUCUUCUGUUCCAUAAGGAAACUGCUGCAACACAGAGGCUAAGAAACUCCAGUGUGUUCUUGAGAUGUGUUAAUUCCAAUAAGAAUUGCUCCAGUAAUGACUAUGGUCAGAAGCACCAGGAUAACAGAGAUGAAGAUUAUUUGCUUCCUGUCCUUGGGAACUGUAGAGUGAUUGCCUACACCUUGCCAACAAGAACAUGGGAAGUUGACAUAGAGUUGCAGGAAUUGCUAAUAACGUAUCUAUACAAGGCCAAAUUCGGAAACAAUAAUUUAAAUGAAAAUAAAAUCAUUUUUUACUCAGUGUGUGUGUGGACCAUCUCUGUCUACUCUCCGAGAGUUCACUGUCUGUGGCAGCCUUCAAAGUCAUCUUCCAGAGUCAUCUCCUCUUUCUGGUGCACAC